rnacentral:rRNA from 1 species
AUGUUGUGGUGGGUAGGGGAGCGUCGUGUGCCGGGUGAAGCAGCCGUGGAAGCGUGUUGUGGAUGGUUCACGAGUGAGAAUGCAGGCAUGAGUAGCGAUACACACGUGGGAAACGUGUGCGCCGAUUGACUAAGGGUUCCUGGGUCAAGUUGAUCUGCCCAGGGUAAGUCGGGGCCUAAGGCGAGGCCGACAGGCGUAGUCGAUGGAUAACCGGUUGAUAUUCCGGUACCCGCUAUGGAGCGCCAGCGCUGAAUCUUCUGAUGCUAAGCCCGUGAAGCCGCCGGCAGGGGUCUUUGAUUCUUGUCGGAGUGGUGGAGCCGGUGACCCGAGGGGGUAGUAGGUGAGUGAUGGGGUGACGCAGGAAGGUAGUCCAGCCCGGGCGGUGGUUGUCCCGGGGUAAGGGUGUGGCCCGUCGUGCAGGUAAAUCCGUGCGACAUGUGGGUGAGACCUGAUGCCGAGCCGAUUGUGGUGAAGUGGAUGAUCCUAUGCUGUCGAGAAAAGCCUCUAGCGAUGUUUCAUGGUGGCCCGUACCCUAAACCGACUCAGGUGGUCAGGUAGAGUAUACCGAGGCGUUCGGGUGAACUAUGGUUAAGGAACUCGGCAAAUUGCCCCCGUAACUUCGGGAGAAGGGGGGCCGCUUCUGGUGAAGGACUUUUCGUCUGGAGCUGGGGGUGGCCGCAGAGACCAGCGAGAAGCGACUGUUUACUAAAAACACAGGUCCGUGCGAAGCUGUAAGGCGAUGUAUACGGACUGACGCCUGCCCGGUGCUGGAACGUUAAGGGGACCGGUUAGCUGCCCUUUUGGGGGUGGCGAGGCUGGGAACUUAAGCGCCAGUAAACGGCGGUGGUAACUAUAACCAUCCUAAGGUAGCGAAAUUCCUUGUCGGGUAAGUUCCGACCUGCACGAAUGGCGUAACGACUUCUCGGCUGUCUCAACCAUAGGCCCGGUGAAAUUGCAGUACGAGUAAAGAUGCUCGUUUCGCGCAGCAGGACGGAAAGACCCCGGGACCUUUACUAUAGCUUGAUAUUGGUGUUCGGUUCGGUUUGUGUAGGAUAGGUGGGAGACUGUGAUGCUCGGGCGCCAGCCUGGGUGGAGUCGUUGUUGAAAUACCACUCUGAUCGUGCUGGAUGUCUAACCUGGGUCCGUGAUCCGGAUCGGGGACAGUGUCUGGUGGGUAGUUUAACUGGGGCGGUUGCCUCCUAAAGAGUAACGGAGGCGCCCAAAGGUUCCCUCAGCCUGGUUGGUUAUCAGGUGGUGAGUGUAAGUGCACAAGGGAGCUUGACUGUGAGACUGGCGGGUCGAGCAGGUGCGAAAGCAGGGACUAGUGAUCCGGCGGUGGCUUGUGGGAGCGCCGUCGCUCAUCGGAUAAAAGGUACCCCGGGGAUAACAGGCUGAUCUUCCCCAAGAGUCCGUAUCGACGGGAUGGUUUGGCACCUCGAUGUCGGCUCGUCGCAUCCUGGGGCUGGAGUUGGUCCCAAGGGUUGGGCUGUUCGCCCAUUAAAGCGGUACGCGAGCUGGGUUUAGAACGUCGUGAGACAGUUCGGUCCCUAUCCGCUGUGCGCGUUGGAGUCUUGAGAAGGGCUGUCCCUAGUACGAGAGGACCGGGACGGACGAACCUCUGGUGUGCCAGUUGUUCUGCCAAGGGCAUGGCUGGUUGGCUACGUUCGGGAGGGAUAACCGCUGAAAGCAUCUAAGCGGGAAGCCUGCUUCGAGAUGAGGACUCCCACCUACUUGAUAGGGUAAGGCUCCCUGUAGACGACGGGGUUGAUAGGCCGGAGAUGGAAGCCUGGUGACGGGUGGAGUUGACCGGUACUAAUAGGCCGAGGGCUUGUCCGC